rnacentral:tRNA from 2 species
GCCCUAGUAGCUCAGAGGAAGAGCAACAGCCUCCUAAGCUGUAGGUCACAGGUUCGACUCCUGUCUAGGGCGCCA